rnacentral:misc_RNA from 1 species
UCUUGUGGCUAGUGUCAAUGUACGAUUAUUAUUUAAGGUAUAACUUUUUCGUCAGUGUUGUUUUGUCGGUUGUUGAGUUCAUACGUGUUUGUUGCGGAUUCAUGAGAACUUGAUUUGUUUUAUAAUAUCAAGCGUGAAGCUGCCGACACCAUGUUAAAGUUUAUGAAACACCAACAAAAAAUUAGUCCAGAACGAAUACAAAAACAAAAGGAAUUAUUCGCAUUCAACAAGGCGUGUUAUCAUGGGUUCCCGGCCAAGCCCUCAGCUUUGGCGUGGGACCCCCUGCUUCGACUCCUGGCCAUAGCCACCAAGAACGGCCAGAUCAGGAUUUAUGGCACACCAGGAGUAGAGUUGUAUGGUCAAGAUGAGAACAGUGAAUCAGCCAUCACUCACCUCAUCUUUCUACAAGGACAGUGUCGUCUAGUGUCUCUAUGUGAGGACAACAGCCUACACUUAUGGCAGCUAAAGCAGUUAGAUGACUCUGGUAGUAUGCAGCUAACCCAGGCCAACUCCACGUCACUUGAGGGAAAGCUGAAAAAAAUAAGUGUAGUCGUAGCGGACAGCAAGUGUGAGCACCUAAUGGUGGGAACUGAAGGGGGCAACAUCUACCUUCUCAACCUGUCAACGUUUGCCAUGUCAGACAACAUCAUCUACCAGGAUGUUGUCAUGCAGAAUGUUCCUGAGGACUACAAAGUGAAUCCUGGUCCAGUUGAAGCCAUUGCUGAACAUCCAACAGAGCCGAACAAAAUUUUGAUAGGUUAUCAGCGUGGCCUGAUAGUUCUCUGGGACAAAAAGAAUCUUUGUGCUGACCAGACAUAUGUGUGUAGUCAGCAGCUUGAGUCUGUGUGCUGGCAUUCAGAUGCAUCACACUUCACAACCUCACACAAUGAUGGCAGCUACAUGGUGUGGUCGGCAACAGAGUCAGCGCAGCCUACUGAUGGACCCCACACUGUAUAUGGGCCUUUUCCCUGCAAACCCAUCACCAAAAUCCUAAGGCCGACCGGAAAGGACGAAGACUUCAUUGUGUUCAGUGGUGGCAUGCCGAGGGCCAGCUACGGUGACCGCAACACUGUAACGGUAAUACUCGGAGAUUAUCACGUGACUUUCAACCUCACCUCUAAAGUUAUUGACUUUGUACUAGUGAAGGAUAGUGAAACUGGACAUGCAAGCUGCCUGGCCAUUCUAGCAGAGGAAGAAGCUGUGUUUAUAGAUCUGGAAACAGAAGAAUGGCCAGCCUUUGCUGCUCCCUACCUGGCAUCUUUACACUCAUCUGCAAUCACAUGUUCUGUAUUGGCAUCUUCAGUGGCAGAAGAUGUGUUUGACAAAAUUAAGGAGGCUGGGUCCAAACAACAGACAGGGCUGUCCACCCGGCCUUGGCCCAUCAAUGGAGGCAAAAUAAAGAACACUGAUGAACCUAAGCAAAGAGAUGUCUUACUGACGGGUCAUGAAGAUGGUACUGUACAGUUCUGGGAUGCCUCUGGAGUUUCUCUGACACUUUUAUACAAGAUACAAACAUCACAACUGUUUGUGUCAGAGGAUCUUGGAGGUGACGGAGCUUCGGCGGAAGAUGAUGAUUGGCCGCCGUUUAGGAAGGCUGGGCUGUUUGACCCAUACAGUGAUGAUCCAAGACUGGGUGUGAAGAAGAUGGAGAUCUGUCCUUAUACUGGAACACUUAUUGUUGCUGGCACAGCUGGACAGGUUCUUGUACUCAACCUGACCAUGGAAGAGAAGGAGAUAGUACCAGAGUGUGUGAAAGUGAACGUGGUAGCUGAGAAUGAUAAUUUUGUCUGGAAGAGUCACAACAAGCUUGACAUGAAGACGGAAGCUGUUAAAUUUGACCCAGGCAUGCAGCCAACAGUAGUAGUGCAGUUCUUCCCCCCAGCCUCAUGCACCUCACUCAACCUACACAGUGAGUGGGGACUUAUAGCAUGUGGCACAGCUCACGGAUUUGCUCUCUUCGACAUAAUACAGAAGAAAAACCUGCUUGCUAAAAGUACUUUAAGUCCUCUAGACAUAGCCAAUGCUGCCGACGAAGGCCCCAUGUCUCGAAGAAAGUCUUUGAAGAAAUCUUUACGCGAGUCAUUUAGACGUUUACGCCGUGGCAGAUCUCAACGUAAAACUGGAAGGCCAGGUCCCACCUCACCCACGAGUACACACCCACAGAGGGUGGACCACGAUAUAAUUAGUGACACCAGCGAUGAGUCACACGAGGAAGAUGACGAACAAUCUAGCACGGGAGGAGGAGGAGGAGCAGCAGCAGCAGUGGAUGAUGAGGGAGUCAAGCCAGUAGAGAGAGCAGUUGAGGCACGUUCACACGCCAGUGACUACAUUGGCUCCAUGGUUCGCUGCCUCCACCUCACUAAGUGUUUCAUCGCUAAUACACAGUUGAUGUCAGCCACAUUAUGGGCCGGCACUAACAGUGGGGCCAUCUUUGUGUUCACCAUUUCCAUCCCACCAUCUGAAAAGCGAGGAGAAGUACCUUUGAGUGUGCAGUUAGGUAAAGAGAUCCACCUGAAGCACGGAGCUCCGGUUAUAAGUGUAUGUAUCCUCGAUGGUGCAAGUAGACCAUUCCCUGAACCAAUGGCCGUCAAGAAGGAGGCCGCUCCAUCACCUAAUAGCAGUUUACCACACAGAGUUUUGAUUUGCUCAGAAGAACAAUUUAAGGUGUUUACUUUACCACAGUUAAAACCAUUCUGCAAGUUCAAACUGACGGCUCAUGAAGGCUCAAGAGUGCGUAAGAUAGGCUAUUCAGACUUUUUAUCUUCAGUCGAUGAAAGUUACCGGGAGCCGUGUUUUGUGGUCAUGACCAAUAUGGGAGAUUAUUCUGUGUAUUCCCUGCCUGAUUGCCGAAGACAAAUGUAUGCAGCGCACAUUAAAAAAGAAGAUAUCAAUGGCAUCAAUAGUGUGGUGUUCAGUAACCGCGGUGAAUCCCUAUACUUGAUGUCUCCCUGUGAACUGGAGCGAGUAUCUCUCUCGGCACGGCACAUAACUCGGCCCACCGGAACAAUUCCCGUCAUAAAACCUCAGCUCGUUAAAGAACCCGAAGAAGAAACAGAGCCAUCAAAAGAAAAGUCAAAUGAAAAUCAGGCAGAGGGUGAUGAUGGUGCUGCCAAUGCUGUUGCUGCUGCCACUGCUGCCACUGCUGCUGCUCCUGAGACCCAAGAAGAGCCUGUUAACCCCCAGGAAAAGGCUGAUAAUGGAUCUAGCAUAGCUGAAAAAGACGAGAAAGUAUCGGGCGACGUUGUAGGUGAGAGUAAUAGAAAGGUGGAGGAAGUGAAGGAGAACGGGGACAACAGUGUCCUCAGUGGAGACAUCACCAUCGACUCAAUCCGUGACCACAUAGUCGUCAUCCGUUCAAGUAGUUGAGACGUCCACAACUGAAGUGAACCACAGCACUGUAAAUGGAACUGAGUAACAGUCAGUUAAAAUACGAGCACCGUUAGCUAAGGCAGAAUCCUUCUUCAGUAAAGAACCCAGAAUUAAGAGUGACGAGUAAACUUUAGCAACAGUGAAGAAGAUCCUACACAGGCCAUCCUUCAGUGAAUGGAUUGAUAUAUAGGAUUGUGUAGCAAGGAAGAAACUGUUGCUCUGGGUAGAACAUAUUUCAUCCAGUGGUAUUUAUGGCAUUAGAUUCCUCUCGAGUUCUGAAUUGAGAAUGCAUUUAAGGGCUUGAACAAAAAAAUGAGGUUACAAAUGUUUAUGAUUACAUUUCAAGCUUAUUUUUUGCUGUUAAAGUGAAUCUCUUCAUUUUCAUUAUAUAAUUUUUUUUUUUAUGACUUGUGAAGUGUAUACUUAUGUGUUACGUCAGCACCAUUUAUUCUGUAGAACAUUGGUUUUGAUUCAGAGUGUGUGUGUGUGUGUUUAGUUCUGUUGUUUUACUGAAGGAAUUACAUGCCAUCCAUAUAUAUUAAGUAAAAGGAUAAUUUAUUUCUAUCUUUGAUUAAGUUUCUUAGAAAUAUUUGUUAUAUCAAUUGGCUAUGCAUCAUGAAGUCCCCAGCUGAUCAGUUAAUUUUCUUACUAUUUUUACAUAAUGUGUAGUUUGCACCGCCCGGGUUCUCACGGGAAAUUCUGAGAUGUAGGGUGAGGGCUUCAGGACAGUGUAGCAGCUUAUAGUAUGUUCCCGUAGUCAGGAAAAUCAAAAUAAGUGGUACGUGUUGCUGGCUUUGGCUGCUUGGGUGAACCAUGUUGGCUGCCUCUCUGCUGUCAUAAUAAGACCCUGACUAGGAGUAGUCUCCAGACUUGCGUCUCUUGUCUUUCCGAAAUCCACGAUACUCGGUCUUAGAGUUACAAGCCCGAAGUUAUGUCCCGCUCUUCUUAACUAAUAAAUUAAUGUAUGAAGGAAAGCAUUUGUAGAGAGUUAACUUUGUCAGGUUAGAGCUUUUAUGUAUUACUUUGUUUUAGUUGUAUGAACAUGCACCACGUGUACAAGCACAUGGAGAGCGUUUUAAAUGAGCUUCCUUUGUUUGGAUGUAUAAGAACAAAUAAAAAAUAAUAUAAGUUGAGUCUGAAACAUGUGAUAAAGAUGGUGAGUGAAGAUUAAAGUAUAUGUUAAAAGUAAUGAAUUAAAUUAUCUCUUAUAGAUUAGAGAUUUAUGUGGUAGUGCUUUCAGGCCAUGUACUUAUCCAUAAACAUUAAUGUAUAUUUUUCUAUAUUAGGAGAAUUAAAAGAUAAAGCUUAACACUGUUUGUACUUUUUAUAACAAUAGAAAUAUAGUUGACACAUUAUUUAAACAGGCAGCUCUUUAUUUUCACUGUUGCUCCACAUAUUUUUAUUGGGUGUAGAAAUGUGGCUCUUCUGUUGUGUUAUAUUAGUAUAAGAGAAAAAAAAAUUGUAUUUUCAUUUGGAAUUCUAAUGGAGCUACACAAUAGUCCAGAUGGGUGAUGUAAUGAUAUAUGGCCAAUAUACAAGAACUACCCUGGGUGUUUUGUAAGAAUAUAUUUCAGGACAUUCUAUAUGGCAGGUUAUUUUGGUUUUAAUUGGAGUUCCCAAUUUUUUUUAAUAUUCUUUCAUUUCCAUUUGCAACCAGUACAGGUAGUUGGUACAUCUGUGUGAAGAGUUGAGGUGUCUAUUAUUUUGUAAUGGAAGGUACAGUUGAUGAGUGGACAUAUCCUUCUCAGUUACCUUCUGUACAUUAUGGUAAAUUGUGCAAAAUAUUCCUAAUUUUGUAUGUGAACCUGUAAUUAUGUUGUGUAGUAACCUCAGAUGAUUUUUUACCUUAGGUCCAACCACUGUUCAGUUUAUCCAAGGCCUGUUGUAUCACUUGAGGUGGUGGAAAAUGUUAUCUUAUGGAGCCUUUAAGAGUUGGGAAAAAAUGAUGGGCAUUAGUGUCAUUAUUCCCUUCCUUGUGUUCUCUGUGUGUGGCUUUGGUUUAAAUUGGUGAUCAGGUUGCUUUAUCAGCAUAUGUCUGAUUCUCUUGCUUAUGGAGAACAUUACACAUAAAUGAGUUUGGCAGACACAAUGACCAAAUUGAACUGCUCAAAACUUUGUACAUAACUAUUGUAAGGUUUUUUCUGACUUUGCAAAAUGCCUUUUGUCAUUAUUCUUUUCUGGGCUCUAUAUUUGUGUUUAGUUCAUCUUCUGAAUUCUUAGGAAAUGAAGUUGCAAGAAUUGCUCUCUGAGUAUGAUAGAUGUCAUGAACGUACUCUUGACUGUAUAUUUCACUGCCCCUUCUUCACUUACAAUAAUUGCAGAAAUGACAACAUUCCAAUAACAUUUUGUAUUGUAGUGAUAAUAGUUAGUCUGUGUGUACACUGAUGCCAGUGUGCACUUUAGGAACUGUUCCUUGUAAACAUUAUGAAUAGGUCCAUAUUAUUUGUCUUAGGCCACCUAAUAUUACCUGAGGAAUAAGUUUUUAAGGAUAUGUUUAAGUUGUUGCUGACUUACAUAGUUUACUAGUGGAUUGUGUUUUAAAUAUUUAUGCCAGAUAAAGUUUAAUUUAAUUUUGAGGAAUCUUAAUUGUCUCAAGUUUAAGUUGUGCUUAGAACCAUAUCUUGGCAUUAAGAGCCUCUGCAGUAUCGGGGUUACGGGAGUUUUCUUUCAGGAACUACAUCCUCGUGAACUAUCGUGUGGUAGUGCGAGAAUGUUGCCUCAUUCCCAUAUAUUGCAGCAUUUCACAUUUACUGCUUGACUACUUGAGGUCUUUAACUCUAUUACUCACGAGAACGUCAGCCACAGGUAUAACCUAAUUUGUUUAUGGGAUCUUCUAAAUUUGGCUGAUAUUUUGGCUUGUCAGGGACUUUGAUACAUGUAUUCAAGGAUGGUAAAUGUGAUACUUAUAUAUUAACUUUAUUUCCCUUGCCCGGAGGCUACAAUGUUAUUUAUGCUGUGUUUUGAUCAUGACUGCUGCUAUUUUGGAUCUCACAUAUAUUUCAUACAAUAGCCUCUUGUACUGCUGUGUAGAUCAGUUGUUGCCUUCCAUUUCUACCAGGUCAAUAAAUUUAACAUCUGUU